UCUUGGGUGGGCAGCCCAGGAGCAGAACUCAGCCUCUAGCAGAUGCCCAAGAAGCAGAGGAGAAGCAGAGUCUAGAAGCUCCCCUCCUGGUGUGGAGCCUGGGGUGUAAAGGGUACUUAGAAAGCACUGGUAUGAAUGCCCUGUUUAUUCAUCACAGUCCUCUCAAGCAUUCAGUCAUUCAGCAAACAUCGAUCGAGCACCUUCUCUGCGCCUGACCCUGUGCUGAGCACCAGGGCCCAGAUGAAUGAGACAUGGUCCCUGCAAAUGCACACACAUACCUUUUCCCAUAAUGAGAAAGGGCUGAGUACAGGGGUGAGAUGGGACAGGCAGGGAUGCGGUCAAUCCAACCCAGGUGGAGGAGAAGGAAGACUUUCCAGAGAAAGAGUCAACAGGUUGGUCUCUAGCAGGCCAGUGCUCAGUGCCUGGUGGAUGCCUGGUAUGCAUGUGCUAAAAGACUGACCAAACUAGACUUAGAAGCAAUAGAACUCUACCUGGAGGCACUGCAGUGAAGUCCCUCCUUCCUGGAGGGAACGAGUCUCUGGCUGAGCACAUGGUGAGGCACCAAGUGGAGACAGCUUCCUGUGUGAGGCUUACGGGAGCCCAGCCCUGGCCUGGGAUUCUAAUAGCAGUGGGCAUGACCCUCCAGAGAUGGCAGCUUUGCCAUGACCGGCCUCUCAUCAUCAUGUGUGUGGACUCCCGCUGAAAGGUGUCUGCCUGGAGGAGCCUGGAAGAGAGCUCACCUCCAGCCUUGAUGAAGUGGCAUCUCUUUGGCACUUGGCCUGACUUCCUAGACCUCCCUGGGGCUGGAAGAGCCUGCUAGGGGUCAAUAUGUACUGACCCUC
ensembl:lncRNA novel transcript